GACGAACGCUGGCGGCGUGCUUAACACAUGCAAGUCGAGCGGCGCGGCGAACGGGUGAGUAACGCGUGAGUAACUGCCCCCCUCUCUGGGAUAACAGUUGGAAACGGCUGCUAAUACCGGAUAGUGGGGGAUGACUCGCGUCCUAUCAGCUUGUUGGUGGGGUAGUGGCCUACCAAGGCGACGACGGGUAGCCGGCCUGGGAGGGCGACCGGCCACAUUGGGCUGAGACACGGCCCAGACUCCUACGGGAGGCAGCAGUGGGGAAUAUUGCACAAUGGGGGAAACCCUGACCCAGCAACGCCGCGUGAAGGAAGACGGUCUUCGGAUUGUAAAACUCUGUUGUUAGAGAAGCGUUAGUAACUGAACGUCCCCUGACGGUAUCUAACCAGAAAGCCACGGCUAACUACGUGCCAGCAGCCGCGGUAAUAC
rnacentral:rRNA from 1 species